AGCGUAGGUGGUUUACUUUGUCUGAUGUGAAAGUCAAGGGCUUAACCUUUGGAUGGCAUUGGAAACGGGUAGACUAGAGUGCGAGAGAGGAGUGUGGAAUUGCUUGUGUAGAGGUGAAAUUCGUAGAUAUAAGCAAGAAUACCAAAGGCGAAGGCAUCACUCUGGCUCGUAACUGACACUGAGGCUCGAAAGCGUGGGGAGCAAACA
rnacentral:rRNA from 1 species